rfam:Atta cephalotes unplaced genomic scaffold scaffold00055, whole genome shotgun sequence.
GUCAACGUCCAUACCACGAAUUUAAAGUACCAGUUCUCGUCUGAUCACUGAAGUCAAGCGACAUUGGGCACGGUUAGUACUUGGAUGGGUGACCGCUUGGGAACACCGUGUGAUGUUGAUA